rnacentral:rRNA from 1 species
UUUAAAUUGCUGUGGUAUUUUGACUAUACGAAGGUAUUGAAAUAAGACUUUUAAUGAGUGCUAAGAGAAUGGUUUCACAAUUUACGACUGUCUUUUUAUUAAUAAUUGGAAAUUAAUUUUUUUGUGUAAAAGCAAAAAUAAAAUUAAGGGACAAGAAGACCCUAUGAAUUUUUCUAUUUUCCUAAUAAAAAAAAUUUUUUAUUAGGAAAAUUUAAUUGGGGUGAUUAGAAAAGAAUAAAAAUCUUUUUUUUCAAAAAAAUUGAUCCAUUUAUUAAUGAUAAUUUGAUAAAAAUACUCUAGGGAUAACAGCGUUAUAAUUUUGGAUAGCACAUAUUGAUAAAAUUGAUUGCGACCUCGAUGUUGGAUUAGGAUUCUUUCUUAUAUGAAGAAGUAAAGAAAAGAAGUUUGUUCAACUUUUAAAUUCCUACUUGAUCUGAU